rnacentral:tRNA from 1 species
GCCAGGGUGGCGGAAUCGGUAGACGCGAUGGAUUCAAAAUCCAUUUCCCGCAAGGGAGUAGGGGUUCAAGUCCCCUUCCUGGUACCA